rnacentral:rRNA from 1 species
UCCAGACUCCUACGGGAGGCAGCAGUGGGGGAUAUUGCACAAUGGGGGGAACCCUGAUGCAGCGACGCCGCGUGGGUGAAGGAGUGCUCCGGCAUGUAAAGCCCUAUCAGCAGGGAAGAAGAUGACAGUACCUGACUAAGAAGCCCCGGCUAACUACGUGCCAGCAGCCGCGGUAAUACGUAGGGGGCAAGCGUUAUCCGGAUUUACUGGGUGUAAAGGGAGCGUAGGUGGCAUGGCAAGCCAGAAGUGAAAACCCGGGGCUUAACCCCGCGGAUUGCUUUUGGAACUGGCAGGCUGGAGUGCAGGAGGGGCAGGCGGAAUUCCUGGUGUAGCGGUGAAAUGCGUAGAUAUCAGGAGGAACACCGGUGGCGAAGGCGGCCUGCUGGACUGUAACUGACACUGAGGCUCGAAAGCGUGGGGAGCAAACAGGAUUAGAUACCCCGGUA